GAUCUCAGCCAACGCGACGAAACGGUAGGACGAAUGUGACCAUCAAUUCGUUGCACCGUUUCGUCGCGUCUUCUAGACACCGCUACGCGUGCUGCCCUCAAUGGCACAAUUUUAAUUCUUUCGCUCUGUCAACAGCAGACGUUUUGGGCGCGAAAAAUCAUGUAAACAGUAUUUUGUGGUAUAUUUGUGGAAAAGAAAUGGGGAAACCUAAUAGAAAACGAGAUUCAUUGAAGUCCAUUAAUAAAGAAUUAAGAAAGGAAAGAAGUGCGGUUUUAAGAAGACGCAACUUGUCUGAAGUGGGUAGAGGAAACGGUUGCAAAUUGAUGAGCGAAGCGAAAAAACGGAGAAAUUAUCAUUCAGAUCAAAGAUUUACAGGGCACUCCUUCUUUGAAUCUUCCUGUAAGCCCCACUGCUGCUUCCCCCAUUCCUUCAAGCUGUCCUCCGCUAAAUGCUGAUGAUACUUGGAUUGUCAUCUUUAGGAAAGAGAUCGAUGGGACCACUGUUAAGAUGAAAUUUCCAAAAUUCCAUGAAAAUCGAGUUGGUGGGCUAAUCACUAUCAACGGAGAAAAGUACUUAUGUGCCGCCAUUCAACAAAAGGGUUCUCAGCAAACUGCAUGCUAGAACUUACGUGACCCUAUAUUAUUUCCUCAACUUUUCUAAAUUCAGAUAAAAUUUUUAAAAUUCUACAAAAUUCGAUUCUGCUGUGAAUGAGCCUGCGUACUCCAAAAAAGAUCAUUCCUUUUAUCAAGUCUUCUAUAAUACAGAUAAAUUUCUCAAAAUUACACAAAGAUUGAAGGAAUGGAAUAUUCACUAAAACUAGAAAAAUAUUAAGCGGAUGUUCAAAGGAAAGGUCCACAAUGC